GAAGCGGGGGAUAACACCUGGAAACAGAUGCUAAUACCGCAUAACAACUUGGACCGCAUGGUCCGAGCUUGAAAGAUGGCUUCGGCUAUCACUUUUGGAUGGUCCCGCGGCGUAUUAGCUAGAUGGUGGGGUAACGGCUCACCAUGGCAAUGAUACGUAGCCGACCUGAGAGGGUAAUCGGCCACAUUGGGACUGAGACACGGCCCAAACUCCUACGGGAGGCAGCAGUAGGGAAUCUUCCACAAUGGACGAAAGUCUGAUGGAGCAACGCCGCGUGAGUGAAGAAGGGUUUCGGCUCGUAAAACUCUGUUGUUAAAGAAGAACAUAUCUGAGAGUAACUGUUCAGGUAUUGACGGUAUUUAACCAGAAAGCCACGGCUAACUACGUGCCAGCAGCCGCGGUAAUACGUAGGUG
rnacentral:rRNA from 1 species